UACGUAGGGUGCAAGCGUUAAUCGGAAUUACUGGGCGUAAAGCGUGCGCAGGCGGUUUUGUAAGUCUGUCGUGAAAUCCCCCGGGCUCAACCUGGGAAUUGCGAUGGAGACUGCAAGGCUAGAAUCUGGCAGAGGGGGGUAGAAUUCCACGUGUAGCAGUGAAAUGCGUAGAGAUGUGGAGGAACACCGAUGGCGAAGGCAGCCCCCUGGGUCAAGAUUGACGCUCAUGCACGAAAGCGUGGGGGAGCAAACAGG
rnacentral:rRNA from 1 species